rnacentral:rRNA from 1 species
AGAGUUUGAUUCUGGCUCAGGAUGAACGCUAGCUACAGGCUUAACACAUGCAAGUCGAGGGGCAGCAUGAAGUUUGCUUGCAAACUUUGAUGGCGACCGGCGCACGGGUGAGUAACGCGUAUCCAACCUUCCCUAUACUAGAGGAUAGCCCGGCGAAAGUCGGAUUAAUACUCUAUGUUCUUCGUAGAAGACAUCUGAAAUGAAGCAAAGGUUUACCGGUAUAGGAUGGGGAUGCGUCUGAUUAGGUUGUUGGCGGGGUAACGGCCCACCAAGCCUACGAUCAGUAGGGGUUCUGAGAGGAAGGUCCCCCACAUUGGAACUGAGACACGGUCCAAACUCCUACGGGAGGCAGCAGUGAGGAAUAUUGGUCAAUGGACGAGAGUCUGAACCAGCCAAGUAGCGUGCCAGGAUGACGGCCCUAUGGGUUGUAAACUGCUUUUAUACAGGGAUAAAGUGCACUACGUGUAGUGUUUUGUAGGUACUGUAUGAAUAAGGACCGGCUAAUUCCGUGCCAGCCGCCGC